rnacentral:rRNA from 1 species
UGCGUAGGUGGUGACGCAAGUCUGGUGUGAAAUCUCGGAGCUUAACUCCGAAAUUGCACCGGAUACUGCGUAACUCGAGGACUGUAGAGGAGAUCGGAAUUCACGGUGUAGCAGUGAAAUGCGUAGAUAUCGUGAGGAAGACCAGUUGCGAAGGCGGAUCUCUGGGCAGUUCCUGACACUGAGGACAAGGCCAGGGGAGGCGAAACG